rnacentral:lncRNA from 11 species
GGGACUCUUAAGUCUCAAAAUGAUGCAUUUACCACUUAACCUCUUUUGUUGCCAGGGUCACAGCAGCAGUUAAGCAUUACCAGCCACCUGCAAAACUUGGCACCCCAGAAGAUGUAUGACAAGGAGUUGAAUAUUGGACUUGCCUUGCCCUCUAAUUGGAUUCAGAUGCAUUUUAGGUUAUCUGUGCUGGACUCGAAGAGACCCCUUCCAAAAGAAAAUAAGAAAGAAAAAGACUCAGUAUGAAAGCGUGCAGAAAGUUUGAUCUGUCAGGAGAAACUGCUGAAGCACUGUUGAUUUGCCCUCAGCCAUGCCUGUGUUGUGCUACAUUGCCCUCUGGCCAACAAUCGGAGCAAACAGAUUCUCCUAACUUCUGCCUCGCUGCAUCUGUUCCAUGUGCUGCCAUGCAAAGCAAAUUAGCCAUUUUCUUUUAAAAAAUACUGUGAAACAGGUGUUCAGCUAACCCAUCCAGAAGUACUGCAAUUCCAGUUUAUCGAUAUGGGCCUUUGAAUCCAAG